UCCGUAGGCGGAUUGAUAAGUCAGAGGUGAAAUCCCACAGCUUAACUGUGGAACUGCCUUUGAAACUGUUAGUCUUGAGUUAUAUGGAAGUAGAUAGAAUGUGUAGUGUAGCGGUGAAAUGCAUAGAGAUUACACAGAAUACCGAUUGCGAAGGCAGUCUACUACGUAUAUACUGACGCUAAUGGAUGAAAGCGUGGGGAGCGAACAGGAUUAGAUACCCUGGUAGUCC
rnacentral:rRNA from 1 species